UACGUAGGCAGCGAGCGUUGUUCGGAUUCAUUGGGCGUAAAGGGUGUGUAGGUGGCGCGCUAAGUCGGGUGUGAAAUUUCGGAGCUUAACUCCGAAACUGCAUUCGAUACUGCGGUGCUUGAGGACUGGAGAGGAGACUGGAAUUCAUGGUGUAGCAGUGAAAUGCGUAGAGAUCAUGAGGAAGACCAGUGGCGAAGGCGGGUCUCUGGACAGUUCCUGACACUGAGGCACGAAGGCCAGGGGAGCAAACGGG
rnacentral:rRNA from 1 species